rnacentral:rRNA from 1 species
GGGGAAUUUUGGACAAUGGGGGCAACCCUGAUCCAGCCAUGCCGCGUGCGGGAAGAAGGCCUUCGGGUUGUAAACCGCUUUUGUCGGGGAAGAAACGGUCUGCGCUAAUACCGCGGGCUAAUGACGGUACCCGAAGAAUAAGCACCGGCUAACUACGUGCCAGCAGCCGCGGUAAUACGUAGGGUGCAAGCGUUAAUCGGAAUUACUGGGCGUAAAGCGUGCGCAGGCGGCUUUGCAAGACAGAUGUGAAAUCCCCGGGCUCAACCUGGGAACUGCAUUUGUGACUGCAUGGCUGGAGUGCGGCAGAGGGGGAUGGAAUUCCGCGUGUAGCAGUGAAAUGCGUAGAUAUGCGGAGGAACACCGAUGGCGAAGGCAAUCCCCUGGGCCUGCACUGACGCUCAUGCACGAAAGCGUGGGGAGCAAACA